AACGAACGCUGGCGGCGGGCUUAACACAUGCAAGUCGAACGCCCCGCAAGGGGAGUGGCAGACGGGUGAGUAACGCGUGGGAACAUACCCUUUCCUGCGGAAUAGCUCCGGGAAACUGGAAUUAAUACCGCAUACGCCCUACGGGGGAAAGAUUUAUCGGGGAAGGAUUGGCCCGCGUUGGAUUAGCUAGUUGGUGGGGUAAAGGCCUACCAAGGCGACGAUCCAUAGCUGGUCUGAGAGGAUGAUCAGCCACAUUGGGACUGAGACACGGCCCAAACUCCUACGGGAGGCAGCAGUGGGGAAUAUUGGACAAUGGGCGCAAGCCUGAUCCAGCCAUGCCGCGUGAGUGAUGAAGGCCUUAGGGUUGUAAAGCUCUUUCACCGAUGAAGAUAAUGACGGUAGUCGGAGAAGAAGCCCCGGCUAACUUCGUG
rnacentral:rRNA from 1 species